GAGAAGGAUCCUAGCACCAUAAAACGCAGGAUGAAUCGUAGGGAGCAGUCAGUUCACACCAGACCCAAGACAAGGGCGGCAGACAGUGAGAGGCAGAGAGAGACAGACAGAGACCUUGAUAUACCUGCUGCCUUCACUUCCUUGCUUAACAUUGCACCAUUACCAUGAAGACCUCACUGGCUACAAUGACCUUGGUGGCGGUGGUGGCGACGGUGUGCGCGCAAAAUCCACGCUGUCCCGCUAACUUCAACCUCGCUGCCGCCCUAUUUCCUGUCGGCCAGAGUCCCACGCCUUGCCGUUCCAACCGCGAAUGUUCAAGAGGGACUUUGUGCUGCCCUGCUAUCGCCUCCCGGACGAACCUCUGCCUUUCACCCGAAAACCCUGGCCUCGAGGGUGGACCUGGAGGGCCUUUUGGCAGGCCGGGUCGUCGCUGCCCCCCGCCCCUGAACUUGGCCUUGGUCCGCUUCAUCGCUGGCCUGCCGAUAUAUUGUAGGAACAACAGUCAGUGCCCCCGAGGUCAACGCUGCUGCCCUGCCAUCAACCCUUUGUCCAAUAUCUGCCGUGAGGUUUAGAUGUUUGGACCGCGGAUCUUUGAUAAUGUUGAAUGUUGCAAUGGUGGUGGUGUAUGUGUGAACGUAACGAUAUGGCCGAUAUUUAUAGGUUUUGUACUGCGACACUCAGGAACAUAUUCUUAAACGUCUCAUGGUCCCAUUACGGCUUUUUCCAAGGUCACAGAGGAGACUAACUGUGUAUUCAUGGGUGAUUUUUCCGGUUCAAGAUGCUAGAGCAGUGUAAAACUAUUCUCAUCACAAAACGGUCUAUGGAAAGCCCAGCAACUUCUAUUAUGAGAGGCUUUUCAUAUUCUUAAACGUCUCCGGUUCCCAUUUCGACUAUUUCCCAAGGCCACAGAUCGAGAAGACUAUAACCGGGUUUUCAAGGGUGAUUUUUCCGGUUCAAGAUGCUGAAAUCGUGUAAAACUAGCCCUAGCAUCGCAAAACAGUUUAUGGAAAGCCCAGUAACUUCGAGAGGCUUUCCAUAUUCUUAAACGUGUCCGGUUCCAUUUCGACUAUUUCCUAAGGCCACAGAGAAGAAUAUCCGGGUUUUCAAGGGUGAAUUUUCCGGUUCAAGAUGCUGAAACCGUGUAAAACUAUCCCAAGCAUCGCAAAACAGUUUAUGGAAAGCCCAGUAACUUCGAGAGGCUUUCCAUAUUCUUGAACGUGUCCGGUUCCAUUUCGACUAUUUCCUAAGGCCACAGAGAAGAAUAUCCGGGUUUCCAAGGGUGAAUUUUCCGGUUCAAGAUGCUGAAACCGUGUAAAACUAUCCCUAGCGUCGCAAAACAGUUUAUGGAAAGCCCAGUAACUUCGAGAGGCUUUUCAAACAGACGGACUGAGGUGCCGAUACGUUAAUAAGAAUACGGCCCAGCUUGACUCGGUCCUUGGAAAUCCUUAAUGAUAUGCAGAUACAAAAGAUAAAACCUAAAUAUUUAUCUACCCCAGCUAAGUCUAUAUGUGUAUGAAUAAAUGAAUGAAGUGGG